CAGUCGAACGGCAGCACGGGAGCAAUCCUGGUGGCGAGUGGCGAACGGGUGAGUAAUAUAUCGGAACGUGCCCAGUCGUGGGGGAUAACGCAGCGAAAGCUGUGCUAAUACCGCAUACGAUCUACGGAUGAAAGCGGGGGAUCGCAAGACCUCGCGCGAUUGGAACGGCCGAUAUCAGAUUAGCUAGUUGGUGGGGUAAAAGCCCACCAAGGCGACGAUCUGUAGCUGGUCUGAGAGGACGACCAGCCACACUGGAACUGAGACACGGUCCAGACUCCUACGGGAGGCAGCAGUGGGGAAUUUUGGACAAUGGGCGCAAGCCUGAUCCAGCAAUGCCGCAUGCAGGAUGAAGGCCUUCGGGUUGUAAACUGUUUUUGUACGGAACGAAACGGUUCGCUUUAAUACAGUGGGCUAAUGACGGUACCGUAAGAAUAAGCACCGGCUAACUACGUGCCAGCAGCCGCGGUAAUACGUAGGGUGCGAGCGUUAAUCGGAAUUACUGGGCGUAAAGCGUGCGCAGGCGGUGAUGUAAGACAGAUGUGAAAUCCCCGGGCUCAACCUGGGACCUGCAUUUGUGACUGCAUCGCUAGAGUACGGUAGAGGGGGAUGGAAUUCCGCGUGUAGCAGUGAAAUGCGUAGAUAUGCGGAGGAACACCGAUGGCGAAGGCAAUCCCCUGGACCUGUACUGACGCUCAUGCACGAAAGCGUGGGGAGCAAACAGGAUUAGAUACCCUGUAGUCCACGCCCUAAACGAUGUCAACUGGUUGUUGGGUCUUCACUGACUCAGUAACGAAGCUAACGCGUGAAGUUGACCGCCUGGGGAGUACGGCCGCAAGGUUGAACUCAAGGAAUUGACGG
rnacentral:rRNA from 1 species